UUCCGGUUGAUCCUGCCGGAGGCCACUGCUAUUGGGAUCCGACUAAGCCAUGCGAGUCGAGAGGGUUCGGCCCUCGGCAGACUGCUCAGUAACACGUGGAUAAUCUACCCUUAGGUGGAGGAUACUCUCGGGAAACUGAGAAUAAUACUCCAUAGAUCCAGGAUGCUGGAAUGCACCUAGAUUGAAAGUUCCGGCGCCUAAGGAUGAGUCUGCGGACUAUCAGGUAGUAGUCAGGGUAAAGACCUGACUAGCCUACGACGGAUACGGGUUGUGAGAGCAAUAGCCCGGAGACGAUAUCUGAGACACGAUAUCGGGCCCUACGGGGCGCAGCAGGCGCGAAAUCUUCACAAUGUGCGAAAGCACGAUGAGGGGAUCCCAAGUGUUGGUUCGUAAGAAUCAUCUGUUUCUUUGUCUAAAAAACAGAGAGAGUAAGAGCUGGGUAAGACGGGUGCCAGCCGCCGCGGUAAUACCUGCAGCUCAAGUGGUGGCCGCUAUUAUUGGGCCUAAAACGUCCGUAGCCGGUUUAGUAAAUGCUUGGGUAAAUUGUGUAGCUCAACUAUACGAAUACCGAGUAGACUGCUGAACUUGGGACCGGGAGAGGCUAGAGGUACUCCUAGGGUAGAGGUGAAAUUCUGUAAUCCUAGGGGGACCACCAGUGGCGAAGGCGUCUAGCUAGAACGGGUCUGACGGUGAGGGACGAAGCCCUGGGGCGCAAACCGGAUUAGAUACCCGGGUAGUCCAGGGUGUAAACGCUGCUCGCUUGAUGUUAGUUGGGCUCCGAGCCCAACUAGUGUCGGAGAGAAGUUGUUAAGCGAGCUGCCUGGGAAGUACGGUCGCAAGGCUGAAACUUAAAGGAAUUGGCGGGGGAGCACAGCAACGGGUGGAGCGUGCGGUUUAAUUGGAGUCAACGCCGGGA
rnacentral:rRNA from 1 species